UCGGGAGAAGAAGACUCUUCUCCACCAUUCGGGUUCGAGGCCCUUCUCAUAUAGGAUGGAAACGUGGCGGCAAAGGGGUUCAAAAUUCCCGAAUGCCGAUGUCUUUGCAGACGUUUAUGUUUGACACGGGGAUGAGUUGGCCGAGUCCCUUCAUGCGACGAUGAUGAAGAAGAGGCAGUUAGUUCUUCAGAAUGAGGUAGAGGACGUAUGGUAGGGGGAUAGGGAAUGCUUGGCAAGAGGAACCUAAAGCCUCUUCAUGCUCUUAGUCAAAGGGCGAGGUGACAACUUUGACAGCAGAGGUGGUCAGCCUUAGGACUGAGCUCGCCUUGUAUAAGAGCCAAAUGUCACUGAUUGUAAAGGCCCUCAGUGAGUCCGACAUUCAUCUCUCGGAUAUUUGUACCCCGUCGACGUCCGAGCCCUUCCAACCCAAGCAUGCCUAGAACUCCGCCCCUUCAACCUUUGAGCUCAUCCUCAACCCUGAGACCUUCUUGCCCCAAGCUUUCCAGCCGCCUAUGAAUGACGACCCCAUAGAUUAUUCCACCUUCUUUUCUUAGUUUU